CCUUCCGUAGGUGAACCUGCGGAAGGAUCAUUAUCAAUAUCUAGGGUCUCAUAUAGGACUCCUAAUCAAACACAUUCCUGUGUAUUCUUCCAUGUUGCUUUCCCAGACCAGUGGCCAUCGCUGCCAGCCGAUAUCCUACUGGUUUGAGGUGUUUGGGGAAGGGCCAGUUAUUAAACCUUUAUACCAAUUGGUUGUCUGAGAUGGCCAUGUGCCGUAAAUCUUUAAACAUGUUAAAACUUUCAACAACGGAUCUCUUGGCUCUCGCAUCGAUGAAGAACGCAGCGAAAUGCGAUAAGUAAUGUGAAUUGCAGAAUUCAGUGAAUCAUCGAAUCUUUGAACGCACAUUGCGCCCUUUGGCAUUCCUUAGGGCAUGCCUGUUCGAGCGUCACUAACAACCAUCUCACAGAGAAUGUGGUAUUGGCCUGAGUGGGUUGUACUUGCACUGCAAAUCUCACUUGGCUGAAAUGGAUUGGCCAGACAAGGAGACAAUAGCGACAGACUCUCAGAGUGUUUUUGAAACGCUGAACUAGUCUGUGGCAGGUUGAAAUCUGAGCUAAAAGGACUGAUAUUUAGUGUAAAUAAGAAAUGUUGACCUCGGAUCAGGUAGGGAAACCCCAAU
rnacentral:rRNA from 1 species